UUCUUUCCUCCCGAGUGCUUGCACUCAAUUGGAAAGAGGAGUGGCGGACGGGUGAGUAACACGUGGGUAACCUACCCAUCAGAGGGGGAUAACACUUGGAAACAGGUGCUAAUACCGCAUAACAGUUUAUGCCGCAUGGCAUAAGAGUGAAAGGCGCUUUCGGGUGUCGCUGAUGGAUGGACCCGCGGUGCAUUAGCUAGUUGGUGAGGUAACGGCUCACCAAGGCCACGAUGCAUAGCCGACCUGAGAGGGUGAUCGGCCACACUGGGGCUGAGACACGGCCCAGACUCCUACGGGAGGCAGCAGUAGGGAAUCUUCGGCAAUGGACGAAAGUCUGACCGAGCAACGCCGCGUGAGUGAAGAAGGUUUUCGGAUCGUAAAACUCUGUUGUUAGAGAAGAACAAGGACGUUAGUAACUGAACGUCCCCUGACGGUAUCUAACCAGAAAGCCACGGCUAACUACGUGCCAGCAGCCGCGGUAAUACGUAGGUGGCAAGCGUUGUCCGGAUUUAUUGGGCGUAAAGCGAGCGCAGGCGGUUUCUUAAGUCUGAUGUGAAAGCCCCCGGCUCAACCGGGGAGGGUCAUUGGAAACUGGGAGACUUGAGUGCAGAAGAGGAGAGUGGAAUUCCAUGUGUAGCGGUGAAAUGCGUAGAUAUAUGGAGGAACACCAGUGGCGAAGGCGGCUCUC
rnacentral:rRNA from 1 species